rnacentral:rRNA from 2 species
UGCAGUCGACGAGCUUCCGUUGAUGACGUGCUUGCACUGAUUUCAACAAUGAAGCGAGUGGCGAACUGGUGAGUAACACGUGGGGAAUCUGCCCAGAAGCAGGGGAUAACACUUGGAAACAGGUGCUAAUACCGUAUAACAACAAAAUCCGCAUGGAUUUUGUUUGAAAGGUGGCUUCGGCUAUCACUUCUGGAUGAUCCCGCGGCGUAUUAGUUAGUUGGUGAGGUAAAGGCCCACCAAGACGAUGAUACGUAGCCGACCUGAGAGGGUAAUCGGCCACAUUGGGACUGAGACACGGCCCAAACUCCUACGGGAGGCAGCAGUAGGGAAUCUUCCACAAUGGACGAAAGUCUGAUGGAGCAAUGCCGCGUGAGUGAAGAAGGGUUUCGGCUCGUAAAACUCUGUUGUUAAAGAAGAACACCUUUGAGAGUAACUGUUCAAGGGUUGACGGUAUUUAACCAGAAAGCCACGGCUAACUACGUGCCAGCAGCCGCGGUAAUACGUAGGUGGCAAGCGUUGUCCGGAUUUAUUGGGCGUAAAGCGAGCGCAGGCGGUUUUUUAAGUCUGAUGUGAAAGCCUUCGGCUUAACCGGAGAAGUGCAUCGGAAACUGAGAGACUUGAGUGCAGAAGAGGACAGUGGAACUCCAUGUGUAGCGGUGGAAUGCGUAGAUAUAUGGAAGAACACCAGUGGCGAAAGGCGGCUGUCUAGUCUGUAACUGACGCUGAGGCUCGAAAGCAUGGGUAGCGAACAGGAUUAGAUACCCUGGUAGUCCAUGCCGUAACGAUGAGUGCUAGUGUUGAGGGUUUCCGCCCUUCAGUGCUGCAGCUAACGCAUUAGCACUCGCUGGGGAGUACGA